CAUGAUGCCCGGCUGCCUUUCCCUCCAGAAGCUCCCUCCAGAUAAGCACAUUGACUUCACUCACUGGCAUCAGUGACUUGCGAAGUUGCCAAUUCUCCCUCUACCCCGCCUCUUUCUUUCUCUCUCUCUCCCUCCUUCUUCUUUCUUUCCCCCUCUUUCUUUUGCAGACAGACCCCCAUCGGUAACCAUGGUUAUCAAUUUUCCAGAGACACAGUUAAGGAAAUCUCCACUCCAAUACUGUAUGUUGGUAUUGGUUAUUAUUAGUCCAUUGUUGAUAGUCCCAACUUGAUUGCUGACAUGCAAAAAUAUUUUUUCAAGAUAUAUCACUUUCGAAAUACAGCCGCUAUGAUCCAUAUUGCAUCAUAUGAUGCUGCGUUUCACACACACACACACACGCACAACUGUAAUGUUAGAGAGAGGGGGAAAGAAAGGGAGACAAAAAGAGGAGGUAGAGUUGACAACUUGGCAAGUCACUGAUGCCAUACAUUGACAGAACACACCCCUGGUCUAAGUUGCUGAGUACGCCCCUCAGCCCUGGUCCUCAGCCCUGGUCCUCAGCUCUGGUCCUCAGCUCUGGUCCUCAGCCCUGGUCUAAGUUGCUAAGAACACCCCUCAGCCCUGGUCCUCAGCCCUGGUCUAAAUGGCCAAGAACACCCAUCAGCCCUGGUCCUCAACACUGUUCUAAGUUGCUAAGAACACCCCUCAGCCCUGGUCCUCAGCCCUGGUCUAAAUGGCUAAGAACACCCCUCAGCCCUGGUCCCCAGCCCUGGUCUAAGUUGCUGAGUACACCCCUCAGCCCUGGUCUAUGUUGCUGAGUCUGGUCCUCAGCCCUGGUCUAAGUUGCUGAGUACACCCCUCAGCCCUGCUCUGCUCUAGGCUGAUAAGGGAUUGGGUUCUUCUCUGGCAGCAGCUGUGGGUUGAAACGAGGUCAGUGACAGAACAGUCUGGCAGACUGUGUGUGUGUCUGAGAGCGUGUGUGUGUGUGUGCUGCACUACCCUGUUGAAGCAGGGGGUGGUUGUGGUUAAAAUCUCAGUGCAGCAGCAUAUUUCUGGUUGCCUUGGUGGUAUUUGGCUGAUGGGGUGUAUGGUAUGGUGGUAAACUAUAACUAACCAGUAAACUAUAACUGACUGAAUUUAGGCUAACGGUAAACUAUAACUAACCAGUAAACUAUAACUGACUGAAUUUAGGCUAACAGUAAACUAUAACUAACCAGUAAACUAUAACUGACUGAAUUUAUGCUAACAGUAAAGUAUAACUAACUGAAUUUAGGCUAACAGUAAACUAUAACUGACUGAAUUUAGUAAAGUAUAACUGACUGAAUUUAGUAAAGUAUAACUGAUGCAGUUAUAUUGUGGGAAAUAUGACCAUCCUGCAUAGUCCACGUGGUCCUGCUGCUAGGGACGGUUUCCCUGACUCAGGCCGUGCGUCCCAAAUGCCAUCCUAUUCGCUAGCUAAAUAGUGCACUACUUUUGACCAGGGCACAUAGGACUAUGUAGGAAAUAGGCUGGCAUUUGGGACUUAACUCCAGAUUACUGGUAAACCUUUUCCUGGACCAGAAAACACUGCCAAUAGAGAUUCUCCAUCGGGCAUGCUUUCUAUUCCAGGAAUAGGUUUAAUCUGGGUCCAGAGAACUGUCCGUAUAUAAUAUGGUUGAGAGGUAUCUAGAUUUUCAUACAGUCAGACUGUUUCUGUACCGUACGGGGGUACAGGAAGUGCACACAAAUGGGUGCUAUUUAAAACAAAAACAAAUUAUACAUACAUUUAGGCAACAGGGAUCUUCGUCCAGGAGGGGGUUGAAUAUCUCUGCUGUUACCAAGAAGCUUGAUCUUGACAUUUCGCCACUUAGCUAGCAAGUCAGCAAACCAAAUGCAUCGCUGGAACCCUGAGCUGGAUAUCAUUCGACACAUCUUAGAUUUCUUACAGUUAUACUUUACUUUAUAGUUAGUUAUAAGCAGUGGCGUAGCACGCACCCCCGGAGGAAACGGUAUUGACAAUGUCGUUAUGUCACUAUGGUGGGACAAUGUCGUUAUGUCACCAUGGUCGUUAUAUCACUAUGGUGGGACAAUGUCGUUAUGUCACCAUGGUCGGACAAUGACGUUAUGUCACUAUGGUCGGUCAAUGUCGUUAUGUCACUGGUCGGUCAAUGUCGUUAUGUCACUGGUCGGUCAAUGUCGUUAUGUCACUGGUCGGUCAAUGUCGUUAUGUCACUAUGGUCGGACAAUGUCGUUAUGUCACUAUGGUCGGACAAUGUCGUUAUAUCACGGGUCGGAACAAUGACGUUUAAUCACACUGGUCGGACAUUACUUU
rnacentral:lncRNA from 1 species